ACGUCAGGGUGGCGGCGGCCGUGGUUGGCGCACCGUCCGCGGCUGCAAAGUGUGAAUUACGCCGGGCUCGCGCCGGCGGCGGAGUGAAGUCAGGCUCCGGGGGAGGGGAGGGGCAGGACGGUGGCGGCGGCCCGAGCUGGUGGCUGGUCCCAAGCCCCGUGCGACCUGGGUCUCGCCGCUGGCUCCAGCCGUCUUUUCUUGCACCGCUUUCUUCUGUCUUUGCUCCACUCCUGCUCUGCUCUGCCCGGACCUGUUCCUCCCGGCCGAGGAGAUCUGGGGCGGCAGGGUUCCCUCUCCCACUUUGCCUGCGCUGCCCCCGCUUGCACCCCGGAGCCGGGCGCGCGCCGGUCCUCGUAACUGUCGCCGCGGCCGCCGCAGCGUCUUCCCACCGGCGGCCCGGGCGGAGUGUUGGGGUGGGAAGGCGUGAGCGCGGCUUCCCGGGGUCGGCGCCCGCCCUCCCUGCCCCCGCCUCGGCCCGGCGCCCCCGAGCCGCGGCCCCUUCCCAGCACAGGGGCCGGCGGCCGCGGCUGGGCGGGCGCCGCGCGGGGGCAGGGCGGGCGUAUUCAAUGGAAGUAUGUUACCAGCUGCCGGUGCUGCCCCUGGACAGGCCGGUCCCCCAGCACGUCCUCAGCCGCCGAGGAGCCAUCAGCUUCAGCUCCAGCUCCGCGCUCUUCGGCUGCCCCAAUCCCCGUCAACUCUCACAGAGGCGUGGAGCGAUUUCCUAUGACAGUUCUGAUCAGACUGCAUUGUACAUUCGUAUGCUAGGAGAUGUACGUGUAAGGAGUCGAGCAGGAUUUGAAUCAGAAAGAAGAGGUUCUCAUCCAUAUAUUGAUUUUCGUAUUUUUCAUGCUCAAUCUGAAAUUGAAGUUUCUGUGUCUGCAAGAAAUAUCAGGAGGUUACUAAGUUUCCAGCGGUAUCUUAGAUCUUCUCGCUUUUUUCGCGGUACUACUGUUUCAAAUUCUCUAAACAUUUUAGAUGAUGAUUAUAAUGGACAAGCCAAGUGUAUGCUGGAAAAAGUUGGAAAUUGGAAUUUUGAUAUCUUUCUAUUUGAUAGACUAACAAAUGGAAAUAGUCUAGUAAGUUUAACCUUUCAUUUAUUUAGUCUUCAUGGAUUAAUUGAGUACUUCCAUUUAGAUAUGAUGAAACUUCGUAGAUUUUUAGUUAUGAUUCAAGAAGAUUACCACAGUCAGAACCCUUACCACAAUGCGGUCCAUGCUGCAGAUGUUACUCAGGCCAUGCACUGUUACUUAAAAGAACCUAAGCUUGCCAGUUCUGUAACCCCUUGGGAUGUCUUGCUGAGCUUAAUUGCAGCUGCCACUCAUGAUCUGGAUCAUCCAGGUGUUAACCAACCUUUCCUUAUUAAAACUAACCAUUACUUGGCAACUUUAUACAAGAAUACCUCAGUACUGGAAAAUCACCACUGGAGAUCUGCAGUGGGAUUAUUGAGAGAAUCUGGCUUAUUCUCACAUAUGCCAUCAGAAAGCAGGCAACAAAUGGAGACUCAGAUAGGUGCUUUGAUACUAGCUACAGACAUCAGUCGCCAAAAUGAGUAUCUGUCAUUGUUUCGGUCCCAUUUGGACAGAGGUGAUUUACACCUUGAAGAUGCCAGGCAUAGGCAUUUGGUUUUACAGAUGGCUUUGAAAUGUGCUGAUAUUUGUAACCCAUGUCGGACCUGGGAAUUAAGCAAGCAGUGGAGUGAAAAAGUAACAGAGGAAUUCUUCCAUCAAGGAGACAUAGAAAAGAAGUAUCAUUUGGGUGUGAGUCCACUUUGUGAUCGUCAGACUGAAUCUAUUGCCAACAUCCAGAUUGGUUUCAUGACUUAUCUCGCGGAGCCUUUAUUCACAGAAUGGGCCAGGUUUUCCAAUACCAGGCUAUCCCAGACAAUGCUCGGACAUAUGGGGCUGAAUAAAGCCAGUUGGAGGGGGUUGCAGAGAGAACAGUCCACCAGUGAGGACACUGAUGCUGCGUUCGAGGAGUUGAACUCACAGCUAUUACCUCAGGAAAAUCGGUUAUCAUAGCCCCCAGAAUCGUCGGAACAGACUGCCUCCUGCAGGUUUUUAGAAAUGUGAAAUGGGGUCUUGAGGUGAGAGGACUUUCUUGACUGCCAAGGUUUCCGAGGGAAUGAGGCCAGCGUUAUUUAUUCCCAAGGUGUCCUCUACUGGAUCGUGCGACCCCACUUUUUAAUUAUAAGACCUGAACAUACAGCAAUAUGCACUUGGCUUUCGUGUGAAACCUUGAAUAUGCAAAGCCCAGCAGGAGCGGAUCCGAAAGGAGUAAUGAAGGAAGUUUUGCAACGUGCCACCAGUUUUUCAAAGCAUUUACUCCUCGAACCGUGAAACUUGAACUGUAUCUUUCAGCAGAAAUCUCUUGGAAUUUAACCAGUCUGACGCAACAUUGUGUAUCUGUACCUUCCACUAAGUUCUCUCUGAGAAAAAGGAAAUGUGAAGUGCCCAGCCUCUGCUGCCUCCUGCAAGACUCGAUGUUUACAAAUCAACUCUGAAAUAUUGGUUCUAAAUUGCCUUGGAGCAUGAUUGUGAAGGAACCACUAAGAAUUUUAAAGAUCAAACUUAAACUGCAGCUCUUUCCCCCUGGUUUGCCUUUUUCUUCUUUGGAUGCCACCAAAGCCUCCCUUUUGCUAUAGUUUUAUUUUGCGCACUGGAAACUGAGCAUUUAUCAUAGAGUACCGCCAAGCUUUCCCUCCAGUGCUGUUUGGCAAUGCAAUUUUUUUUAACUGUUAGUUUCUGAUUUGGGGCGGGAGGGGAAGAACACCAGUGUCCUAGCUGUAUUAUGAUUCUGCAGUGAAGACAUUGCAUGUUGUUUUCACUACUGUACUCUUGACCUGCACAUGCAAGAAACAGGUGGAAUGUUUAAAACACCAUAAACAGCUCAGGGUAUUUGCCAAUCUGAAAUAAAGUGGGAUGGGGAAGUGUGUCCUUCAGAGCAAGGGUACUAAAGUCCCUUUCGCUGCAGUGCGUGAGAGGCAAAUCUUCUGGGGAAGUCCAUUUAUGAUCAGCCGGUUACUUGGUGAGCGUGGAUUCUGAGCAAGGGAAGCAAGUUGCCUCAUGCAUCCAUCUCCCUAUGGGGACUCACCUGCUGAUUUUCAUGUUUGUGGACCAGGGUACGCUCUUCCCCCGGAUGAUUGUAGAGAUUCUCUGCCAGUAGUUGCCUCUCCACAUCAGCUUCUGAUGGGCACAUCCAGUAAAUCUGUCAGUACCUUCAGCCUUUGUCUCAGUUGAACCUGCCUGGGUUCCAUCUGCCGGUGUACGAUUGCUUACUUCUGCUCUGAUCCAUUUCUUAUUGUUUGAUAGUCAAAGGAUUAUCUUAUUUCCUUUCUUGGGGGAGACACCUCAAUGUUGCUCCCAUCUCCUGCCUAUACGUAGAAUAAACCCACUGACAGAUUAUGUUUUGUUACAUAUAUGUGGAAGUCAUCAUCUAUAGCCCUGCUCCUUAAAUAUAACCUAUAUUCCUUGAACAUUGGUUUUCUAGAAAAAUUUGAGGAAACAGUUCAGAAAUUUAGAAGAUUACAUUUCAAAUAAGUAAAUGUUAUGGAACAGAAAAAUACACAUGAACUUUUAAAACAGGAGACUUCAAAGAAUUGUCGAGCAUGUCGCAGCCCUGUGGGGCUCUACCCAACACUUCAGUAGUAGGGGGGCAUCUCCUCUGCUCUGGAGGUAAAGGUCCUUGGAGAGAAAACUUUGGCAAGCCUUAGCUUAAUGAAAAACCAAUCUGGUACCUGGCCAAUAUUUCUAUUAUGUAAAUGUGAUGGUUUAUAAUGAUCCUCUUUGUAUAAAAGAAGCAAAUAUUUUAUGUCCUUUGCAAACCUGGAAAAUAUAUUUGUACCUGAGGUACAGGUUAGAGGUGCUAGUAAUUCUUUGAAGAUUCCUACAACGGUUUCUUUUCCAAAAUGCUUUCUUGGCUCUUAAAACUUUGAGUUUUCUUAAAACUCUAACUUUCACAUCAGGGGUUUACAGUGUUUUCAUGUGUACUUUUUUUAAUGUAUAAAUAUUUUGUUUAAAUCCUCUCCUGAUCAGUGUCUCCUGCUUGAGAAAAUAAACAGUGACCGACAGCUA